rnacentral:lncRNA from 1 species
CAGACCUGACAGACAUUGUUUUUUCUGGUUUUAUUCCUGCCUCAUCUUCUAUUUGAUGUUCUUAGAUCCCAGUGUCAGGAUAGUGUGGUACUCAGUAAGUGGUCUCACAAGGCCUGCUCUUCUAGGGCUCAGAAGUCCACGAUGUGCCUACUACAGCUUUUGCUUCUACGUGUUGAAUCCUGGCAUACAGUCCCCAACAAACGGAUGCUUUGAUGCUGAUAGUUCAGCUCUGGAUUCCUCUUUUCCUCCAGACCAGAUGUUUGACUUCUCCCUGCUAAUGGUAACAUGGUGCUACCUCAUUAUACACCUCUCUCUGGAAAUGAUGCCAGGGCUGCUUCAAUGCCAGCCAAGAGCCUUGCAGACUCAAUGAGACAGCUGGCCUCCUCCAUGGGGAUGGGCUGCUUUACCUUUUGGAUCCAGGCAGUCACUGUGAGCUCAGAUCCAGCCUGCUGCAAAUGAUUUUUCAUAGGCAGGUGAGAACAAAAGGGCUUUGAAAACCUACUUCAAUAGAAUCUGGAGACAUGGAGCUCUCCUGAUUAAAAAAAAAAAAAACAAACAUAUACACAGUCCAGUUGCAUUUUCAUCUCAAUUGAUUUUUGUAUGAGAUGGAGAAGUGAAUUCGUCAAACAAAAGCGUUCAUAGAAAUCUUUACAUAAAAUUAAGUAGAUUUUUUCAUGCACAACAGCUGUGUUGUGUUUGCAAAAAUCAAAUAAUUCCCUUAUAAAGCUCACAAACUGUAAGUUGAUUGCUUUGAUCUUGUCCACAACAUAUGCUAAUCCUCAAAUAUCCAUGGAAGAAGUGGGUGAGAUAAUGCAAACAAAAUAAACACCUGGUUAAGAUAAAACA